CCUACGGGAGGCAGCAGUGGGGAAUAUUGCACAAUGGGGGAAACCCUGAUGCAGCAACGCCGCGUGAGUGAAGAAGUAUUUCGGUAUGUAAAGCUCUAUCAGCAGGGAAGAAGAUGACGGUACCUGAGUAAGAAGCCCCGGCUAACUACGUGCCAGCAGCCGCGGUAAUACGUAGGGGGCAAGCGUUAUCCGGAUUUACUGGGUGUAAAGGGAGCGUAGACGGCUGUGCAAGUCUGUAGUGAAAGCCCGGGGCUCAACCCCGGGACUGCUUUGGAAACUGUGUGGCUAGAGUGCAGGAGAGGCAAGUGGAAUUCCUAGUGUAGCGGUGAAAUGCGUAGAUAUUAGGAAGAACACCAGUGGCGAAGGCGGCUUACUGGACAGUAACUGACGUUGAGGCUCGAAAGCGUGGGGAGCAAACAGGAUUAGAUACCCGUGUAGUC
rnacentral:rRNA from 1 species